UGGUCCUGUUGUACAAUCCACUUCGAAAGAAAGGCUUGUCCCCGAAAUUGCAGACAGCCUGGGAAGGACCCUAUAUGGUGAUGAAACGACUUAAUGACGUGGUAUACCGCAUACAAAGAAAUGGGAAAGCACGAUGUAAAAUGAAAGUAGUACAUUUGGAGAGGCUCGCCCCAUUUGGUUCAAGAGGAUUUGUGCCUAAUCGGGACGAUUAGGCUUUAGUGGAGGGCAGUGUUACAAAAAGUAGUAUUAAGUUGUAUUUGUAUUACUAUAUGCAUCCCUGAUUAUGAACAAUAGCUGUAGGUAUAUGGAAUAGCAUUUGUCUUGUUGUAGACAUCUGGCGCCACACUGUCUGCUCGUCUAGUUAAACAAUUGCUGAGUCUGGCGCCGCGACUGUCUGCUUGCGUCUGGCGCCGUAUAGCCGUAUGUUCUGGUAAUUUCCAGACGCGAUAUUCUAGAAGGACACGUCGGCAUCAGCGAGAAGUGCGUGGCUAUAGCCGUAUGUUCUGGUAAUUUCCAGACGCGAUAUUCUAGAAGGACACGUCGGCAUCAGCGAGAAGUGCGUGGCUAUAUAAGCCGUGGCAGCGCCAACGUAAUGAAUCAGUGCUAAGAGUAAACUGCUAUAGUGUAGACGAGUUGUGAAAUAAAGAGUUGUUGAAUUAAAUUAAACAGUGUUGAUUUUAUUUGUCAAUCCAGAGAUACGAACCUAACAAAGUAAACUAGCAAGAGUAAAUUCGUAACAAUUGGUGUCAGAAGUGGGAUUGUCAAAUAAUCCAAAUUCAAGAUGGUUAAAUUCGGAGAAUUGAGAAUUCAGCAAUUAAAAAAGGAACUGGAGGAGCGUAAUUUGCCGAUAAGUGGGCAAAAGGCGGAUCUGCAGGCACGAUUACGUGAAGCAAUGGAAGCGGAUGGAAUUAAUGUGGACGAGUUCGAAUUUGUUGGGCCAGAAACUUCUACAAAGGUAGAAGAAAAAGUAGAAGAACAACGAACAUCAUCAAGUGUGGACAUGAACUUGCUGUUAGUGGCUAUUAAGCAAAUAGAAAAUCGUCUGGCACAGCAAAUAGCUGAAAAUACAGAAAAUGCAGUGCAAACAGAAAAUCGUCUGGCACAGCAAAUGACGCAAAUAGCUGAAAAUACAUCACAGUUAGAGUCUCGCCUUACACAACAAAUGACUGAAAAUAAUACGCAGUUAGAAAAUCGUUUGGUACAACAGAUUACGGAAAAUACUACACAACUACAAAAACAAGUGCAAGAGAAAUUUUCAAAAUUUGAAGACGAAUUAAGCACUUUAAAAAAUGACGAAGAAAAUUUGAAAUCAGAAGUUCUUCAUUUGAGUAAUCGGAUGCGAGAACUGCAACUGCAUGGCCCUGCACCAUCAACAAAUAAUCCGAGAUUGAAGUCACCCACAUUCGAUGGAAGUAUUCCAUUUCAAAUUUUCAAACUUCAGUUUGAAAAGACAGCAUUGGCCAAUAACUGGAAUGCAGCGGACAAAGUGGCGUCCUUGUUUGUAUCAUUGAAAGGACCUGCGGCAGAAAUCCUUCAGACUAUUCCAGACUGUGAACGGGACAACUAUGAGGCAUUGAUGAGUGCGAUAGAAAGACGAUAUGGUAGUGAGCACCGGAAACAAAUAUACCAGAUCGAACUGCAAAAUAGGGGUCAGAAAAUGAACGAGUCAUUGCAAGAGUUCGCAACUGAAAUAGAACGACUGGCUCAUUUGGCAAAUGCAGAUGCACCUGUGGAUUACAUUGAGAGGGUAAAAAUUCAAUGUUUCAUAAAUGGAAUUCGUGAUGUGGACACCAAACGCGCCACAUAUGCAUUGCCAAAAAGAACGUUUGCUGAAACGGUUUCGCACGCCCUCACACAGGAAACAGCUUCCCUACUAAGUAAACCAGCACACAAGGUACAAAGGGUUGAAAUGGAACAACCGGCGCUGAUGGAAGAAAUAUUGAAGACUCUGAAGACAAUUGCUGCACCGCGAGUAAAUACAACAGGCAGAUGUUUCAACUGUGGAAAAGCGGGUCACUUUGCCCGAAAUUGCAAUAUAAAAGUAAACCCAUCAAAACGGAAACAACCAACAGAUAACGAGGACGAAGCAUCCACAUCUCACAAGUCGUUAAACUAAAACGGAACAGUUCAAAGGGGCGUGAGCUGGUUCCCACAACUAUUUGCCCCGCCAUCUCGAUAUCACAAAUAGGUCGCCAUGACAACAAUCUUACUAUCAACAGCAUCGUAAAUGGACGACUGUCAACGCUUACUUUGGAUACUGGUGCCACACAUUCAAUUAUCCGACCGGAUGUGGUAAGAGGAACGGUUGAACCAUUAGUCGGUUGCAAGCUUCGAACGGCCACCGGGGAGGAAGCAGCUGUCGCGGGAAAAGUGUUUUGCGAAGUGAUGAUUGGUACCCUGGAAGUUAAUCACACCUUCAUCGUAGCAGAAAUCACGGAUGAAAUUAUAAUGGGAGUAGAUUUCAUGAUUGAUCACGGGGUUACUUUGGAUUUAAACAAGCAAAUGCUGUUUUGCCAGAACAUGGAGAUGCCUAUAAACACCGGAUAUGUGACCAACGUUGAAAGUAAGAGGGUGAUUGUUGAUGAUAAUCAGAGCAUUCCACCAAAAUCUGAGGCGAUUGUAUGGGCUAAAAUGAAUGGAGGAGGUGGGACUGAAGAGUUGUGGAUUGUGGAACCAACAAAAAUAGAUACACCCAUAUUGGUAGGAAGAACGCUUGUGAAAACUAGAGAAGACGCCACCAUUCCGGUGAGAGUAGUGAAUGAAUUCAACACGCCUAUAAGUCUGAAGAAAGGAGCAGUAAUUGGACAGUGCCAGAAUAUAAGUGCAAUAGCACGAUGCGAACGGUCACAACAGAAGCCUACGAUUGAGCCUCAGCAGAUAAGUCCUACACUCCUAAAUAAUUUGCUGAACGAACUGCAUGGAAAUGAAAAAUUAAAAGCAGAAAAACUAUUAGAAAAAUACGCAUCCAUAUUUGCAAACGAAGGAAACACAGGAAGAACCGGCAUUGUCAAACAUCGCAUAAAUACUGGAGACGCUAAACCAAUCCGACAAGCUCCGCGUAGGGUUCCACUAGCAAAACGAGAGGAUGCUAACAAAAUUAUUGAAGACAUGCACAAAAACGGUGUAAUCGAACCUUCAAUAAGUCCAUGGAGCUCACCUAUCGUCUUAGUUAAAAAGAAAGAUGGUAGCACCCGUUUCUGCGUAGAUUAUAGGAAGUUGAAUGAUGUCACAAAGAAAGACAGUUAUCCUCUACCAAGAAUCGACGAUACAUUAGACACCUUGUCUGGAGCGAAAUGGUUUUCUACAUUAGAUCUACAAAGUGGAUAUUGGCAAGUCGAGAUUGAUGAAUGUGACCGUGAAAAGACCGCUUUCAGUAUGGGCGACGGGUUAUGGGAAUUCUCUGUGAUGCCAUUUGGGUUAUGUAAUGCGCCUGCAACGUUCGAGCGACUGAUGGAACAUGUGUUAAAAGGACUCAACUGGAAGACAUGUUUAGUGUAUCUUGAUGACAUUAUCAUCAUGGGAAAAAGUUUUGAUGAUCAUCUGAAAAAUCUAGAGGAAGUCUUUCAGCGAAUAGCAGCAGCCGGAUUACGCUUGAAUCCCAAAAAGUGUUCAUUAUGGAAGAAGCAGGUCACAUAUCUCGGACAUAAAGUGUCAACUGAGGGGAUUCACACCGAGGAGGGAAAAAUAAAAGCAGUUAAAGAUUGGCCUCAACCCACCAACAUACAUGAACUCCGCAGCUUCCUCGGCUUAUGCACGUAUUACCGCCGUUUUGUACCUGGAUUUGCGAACGUGGCUAGAAGUUUACACGAUUUAACAAAGAAGAAUCGCCCGUUUGUAUGGCAGUUGGAACAAGAAAAAGCGUUUGAGCAGCUUAAAGAACUACUUUGUACGGCGCCGAUGUUGGCUUAUCCAAUACCUGGAAAGAAAUUCAUCCUGGAUACAGAUGCGAGCGCUUAUGAAA